rnacentral:rRNA from 1 species
UAAUACGGAGGUGGCAAACGUUACUCGGAAUUAUUGGGUGUAAAGGGCAAGUAGGCGGCUUAAUAAGUGGGGGGUGAAAUACUUCGGCUCAAUCGGAGAACUGCCUUCCAAACUGUUAAGCUUGAGUAUGACAGAGGAAAAUGGAAUUCUUGGUGUAAGGGUGAAAUCUGUAGAUAUCAAGAAGAACACCAGCUGCGAAGGCGAUUUUCUGGGUCAUUACUGACGCUAAAUUGCGAAAGCUAGGGGAGCAAACAGAAUUAGAUACUCUGGUAGUCCUAGCCGUAAACGAUGAGCACUAGGUGUCGGGUCCUUUAGGAUUCGGUGCCGCAGCUAACGCAUUAAGUGCUCCACCUGGGGACUACGGUCGCAAGGCUA